GCUCUUAGCACUUGAUCUCAUUGGAGCUCGGUAUGUUUGCGGUUGGUAGCUACGGAGUUUUAUUUUGACGGAUCUAUGUUUUUUACGAUGGUAUUUAGCUGUGGUCUCCCAAUUCCCCACCGCUCGCUCGUAACUGGGCCGCUGAUCUUCCCGCCGCCUUCCUCGUCUCCUGUGAAACCCUAAUUGAAAAUUCAUUUCCCCUCGAGCUUCAUCUCCCUCUGCCAUACCUUUAACGAGCAGGGCAUAAGAGGAAGAAGAAGACUGUUAUUAUUGUAGGCGUCGCUGGGGAGAUUGCACUGCUGCUUCUGAGUCUAGUGUUUUUAUUGGUUUGGGUAAGACAGAGAAGGCCAUAAGAAACUAAGAGAGGUACAAAUUGCUUACGGGAUUACUAUAUCAACUCUUUCAGAAAAAGAGCAGUGGAAUAUGCCAAUAGAUAUACCACCUUCGUUGGAGUACCCAACACUGCAAGGCCAAGAGGUAGACCUAGAAAGAAUAUAAUUAAAAACUUUAUAGAGAACAGUGUUAUAAAGAGAAGACAUGUUCAUAAAUGCGGGCGAUGCGGAUUAUGGGGCCACCAUAGAACUACUUGCAAGAAUUCGUUGAGUCAAGAAAGUUUGCAAGUGCUACAUUGGAAAUUCUACCAAUGACUCAAUGACUCGAACCAUACGAGCUCUACUACUGAAUUUUGGGCUAAACUACAAAUAGGAAGGGGAGGCACCAUUGGUAAUAUUGAGCUCUUCACUGCUACCAUGCAUCAACAUAAACUGGAGAGAGAUGAACACUUAUAUAAAUCUUUUCAGAAGCCACAGCUCAGUGAAAUAUUACUUAUUUUUAACAGUUUCUGAAGAAGUUUGAAUUGAUCACCCUGUAAUAUAGUUGUUAUGAAUGAUUUGGGUGGUAUAAACGUAGACAAGCAAAGAUUAUACCUUGAACAAAUGACAAUAAGAACUUGCUCAGGUUUCAUGUCUUUGCUGUACAUUAUUAUAAGUGUAUUGAAGCAGAGCAUUGAAGAUAACUAUGUCUGGUUUUAAGCCUGCCUCUUCCAUCUCAACAACCAUCAACUCAAUAUCUCGUAGUCGUUUUGCAUGACAAAACAAUUCAAUCAUACUGCAAUAAAGCUGUAAAUUUUGUAAUGUUUUACAAAGGUAUGUUUGUAAAUCAUUUUUUUUUUGUUUCUCUGGAAUGGGGGCACUUGCCAUAGGCUCAGCUAAAACUUUGCAGCUAUUAUGGAGGUCCCAUGAUGGAAGAUGAAU